UACAGAGGGUGCGAGCGUUAAUCGGAAUUACUGGGCGUAAAGCGUGCGCAGGCGGUUUUGUAAGCCAGAUGUGAAAUCCCCGGGCUUAACCUGGGAAUGGCAUUUGGGACUGCAAGGCUGGAGUUUGGCAGAGGAGACUGGGAAUUCCUGGUGUAGCAGUGAAAUGCGUAGAUAUCAGGAGGAACACCGAUGGCGAAGGCAGGUCUCUGGGCUGAAACUGACGCUCAUGCACGAAAGCGUGGGGAGCAAACAGG
rnacentral:rRNA from 1 species